rnacentral:rRNA from 1 species
CGUUGGUCUGGUCUAGUCUGGGGGCCGACACAUUGGCUCAAGGCCGCAAGGUCUUGAUGUUUACGCUUGCAUGUUUGACAGAGUUAAUGGUGAGCUUGAAAAUGACAACUUUUAACAACGGAUCUCUUGGCUCUUGCAACGAUGAAGAACGCAGUAAAGUGCGAUAUGUAGUGCGAUUUGCAUGAAUCUGUGAGUCAUCUAAUCUUUGAACGCAACUUGCGCCUCGCUGAGGCAUGUCUGUUUGAGUGCCGCAUACGCUACUGCAGCAAUGCGAUUUGGUCCGUGUCGCGACGGCUAGGCGACUAGACGGGACGACUGGGCCUAAAUGCAGCCAGAGGAUGGUCUGUGGGGACUGGACCGAGUGCUAAGCAUUCUUGGGCUGGGCUCCGCUGGGCACAAUCUAACGAUCUAUUCUAUUUGGCCUCAAAUCAGGCAAGACUACCCGCUGAACUUAA